CCUACGGGAGGCAGCAGUGAGGAAUAUUGGUCAAUGGACGAGAGUCUGAACCAGCCAAGUAGCGUGAAGGAUGACUGCCCUAUGGGUUGUAAGCUUCUUUUAUAUGGGGAUAAAGUGUUCCGCGUGUGGGAUUUUGUAUGUACCAUAUGAGUAAGAAUCGGCUAACUCCGUGCCAGCAGCGGCGGUAAUACGGAGGAUCCGAGCGUUAUGCGGAUUUAUUGGGUUUAAAGGGAGCGUAGGUGGAUUGUUAAGUCAGUUGUGAAAGUUUGGGGCUCAACCGUAAAAUUGCAGUUGAAACUGGCAGGCUUGAGUACAGUAGAGGUGGGCAGAAUUCGUGGUGUAGCGGUGAAAUGCUUAGAGAUCACGAAGAACUCCGAUUGCGAAGGCAGUUCACUGGACUGCAACUGACACUGAGGCGCGAAAGUGUGGGUAUCAAACAGGAUUAGAUACCCGAGUAGUC
rnacentral:rRNA from 1 species